AAAACAAUAUGAAUACAGUAAUUACAGUUUCGCGUCGAGUUUAUUUUAUAUACUGUCGAGUGUCACGACGUAUAAUCGAAUCCGAUAUUAAAAUCGGUAGGAAAACGAAAUUUACGAAUGAUUGUUUAUCGAAGACAAACACCACUUAACAUACGGGUUAUUCACACUAGAUGUAUAGCGUUUCGAAUGUUCCGUGCUCGGUAUUUUUUUUU